rnacentral:lncRNA from 1 species
CCUCCACAUUUUAGCCCAGUGCCUGGUAUAUGGAAAAUGCCUAAUAAAUGUUUGUUGACUGAUCAUGUGUGACCAUGCUCUGUUUCUAGAUCAAAUGAACUGGGGUGGAGAAGGGAAGAAUUAACCCCACUAUACAUAUUCUCUACAUACUACACAUGUUUUCUCCCCAACAGAAUCAGCCCAAUUGGGGAGAGGAAGGAUGGGAGCCACAAAGCUCAUAGCUUCAUAGACUUAAAAUGGGAGGGGCCUCAGAGGUCAUCUAGUCCAAUCUGAUCCUUUUACAAGUUGAAAAUUUAAAAAUUGAAGACCAGAGAAGUAAAGGAAGGGCCACCUAGGUGUAGAGUUCCAGAGCUGGAGUUGGGAGGAUCUUGGUCCACAACUGGCUUUGAGACUUCCCUGCUGUGUGACCCUGGUAAGUCACUUAACCACAAUUUCUUAAUCCUCAAUGUUCUUCUGUCUUAGAACUGAUACAAAGACUGAAGCUAAGGAUUUAAAAAAGAAAAAAAUCAGUGGAGUAUAGGGGGGAGCACUCCUUGAUAUAAAUGUCUCAUCAAGCAUCCUUAAAG